AACGAACGCUGGCGGCAUGCCUAACACAUGCAAGUCGAACGAGACCUUCGGGUCUAGUGGCGCACGGGUGCGUAACGCGUGGGAAACUGCCCUUAGGUUCGGAAUAACUCCCCGAAAGGGGUGCUAAUACCGGAUAAUGUCUUCGGACCAAAGAUUUAUCGCCUUUGGAUGGGCCCGCGUUGGAUUAGCUAGUUGGUAGGGUAAAAGCCUACCAAGGCGACGAUCCAUAGCUGGUCUGAGAGGAUGAUCAGCCACACUGGGACUGAGACACGGCCCAGACUCCUACGGGAGGCAGCAGUGGGGAAUAUUGGACAAUGGGCGAAAGCCUGAUCCAGCAAUGCCGCGUGAGUGAUGAAGGCCUUAGGGUUGUAAAGCUCUUUUACCCGGGAUGAUAAUGACAGUACCGGGAGAAUAAGCGCCGGCUAACUCCGUG
rnacentral:rRNA from 1 species